rnacentral:rRNA from 1 species
UGAGAAUGAUUCUUCGGAUGAAGUCUCUUGUGACUUUGUGGCGGACGGGUGAGUAACGCGUGGGUAACCUGCCUCACACAGGGGGAUAACAGUUGGAAACGACCGCUAAUACCGCAUAACCCGCUGGUGCCGCAUGGCACUGACGGAAAAGAUUUUAUCGGUGUGAGAUGGACCCGCGUCUGAUUAGCCAGUUGGCAGGGUAACGGCCUACCAAAGCGACGAUCAGUAGCCGGCCUGAGAGGGUGAACGGCCACAUUGGGACUGAGACACGGCCCAGACUCCUGCGGGAGGCAGCAGUGGGGAAUAUUGCACAAUGGGGGAAACCCUGAUGCAGCGACGCCGCGUGAGUGAAGAAGUAUUUCGGUAUGUAAAGCUCUAUCAGCAGGGAAGAAAAUGACGGUACCUGAUUAAGAAGCCCCGGCUAACUACGUGCCAGCAGCCGCGGUAAUACGUAGGGGGCAAGCGUUAUCCGGAUUUACUGGGUGUAAAGGGAGCGUAGACGGUGAUGCAAGUCAGAAGUGAAAGCCCGGGGCUCAACUCCGGGACUGCUUUUGAAACUGUGUGACUGGAGUGCAGGAGAGGUAAGCGGAAUUCCUGGUGUAGCGGUGAAAUGCGUAGAUAUCAGGAGGAACACCAGUGGCGAAGGCGGCUUACUGGACUGUAACUGACGUUGAGGCUCGAAAGCGUGGGGAGCAAACAGGAUUAGAUACCCUGGUAGUCCACGCCGUAAACG